CUUCAUUUCGAGUGGACUCCUACGGGAGGCAGCAGUGGGGAAUAUUGCACAAUGGGGGAAACCCUGAUGCAGCGACGCCGCGUGGAGGAAGAAGGUCUUCGGAUUGUAAACUCCUGUUGUUGAGGAAGAUAAUGACGGUACUCAACAAGGAAGUGACGGCUAACUACGUGCCAGCAGCCGCGGUAAAACGUAGGUCACAAGCGUUGUCCGGAAUUACUGGGUGUAAAGGGAGCGCAGGCGGGAGAACAAGUUGGAAGUGAAAUCCAUGGGCUCAACCCAUGAACUGCUUUCAAAACUGUUUUUCUUGAGUAGUGCAGAGGUAGGCGGAAUUCCCGGUGUAGCGGUGGAAUGCGUAGAUAUCGGGAGGAACACCAGUGGCGAAGGCGGCCUACUGGGCACCAACUGACGCUGAGGCUCGAAAGUGUGGGUAGCAAACAGGAUUAGAUACCCUGGUAGUCCACACCGUAAACGAUGAUUACUAGGUGUUGGAGGAUUGACCCCUUCAGUGCCGCAGUUAACACAAUAAGUAAUCCACCUGGGGAGUACGACCGCAAGGUUGAAACUCAAAGGAAUUGACGGGGGCCCGCACAAGCAGUGGAGUAUGUGGUUUAAUUCGACGCAACGCGAAGAACCUUACCAAGUCUUGACAUCCCUUGACGAUGCUGGAAACAGUAUUUCUCUUCGGAGCAAGGAGACAGGUGGUGCAUGGUUGUCGUCAGCUCGUGUCGUGAGAUGUUGGGUUAAGUCCCGCAACGAGCGCAACCCUUAUGGUCAGUUACUACGCAAGAGGACUCUGGCCAGACUGCCGUUGACAAAACGGAGGAAGGUGGGGAUGACGUCAAAUCAUCAUGCCCUUUAUGACUUGGGCUACACACGUACUACAAUGGCGUUAAACAAAGAGAAGCAAGACCGCGAGGUGGAGCAAAACUCAGAAACAACGUCCCAGUUCGGACUGCAGGCUGCAACUCGCCUGCACGAAGUCGGAAUUGCUAGUAAUCGUGGAUCAGCAUGCCACGGUGAAUACGUUCCCGGGCCUUGUACACACCGCCCGUCACACCAUGAGAGUCGGGAACACCCGAAGUCCGUAGCCUAACCGCAAGGAGGGCGCGGCCGAAGGUGGGUUCGAUAAUUGGGGUGAAGUCGUAACAAGGUAGCCGUAUCGGAAGGUGCGGCUG
rnacentral:rRNA from 1 species